CUUACCACUGUGCAUUGGAGGAGCCUGGUUGCCCGCCUGCUGCCUUUAGACUAUGGCCCCAUGUUAAAAGGUUUGAUUUUCCCCUGCAAAGACAUGAAAGCCGGGUCAUUUGGUGCUUGCCCUGUUUGAGCGGUGAUACGCCAGAUAGCUAUGUCAUGGAGCCCAUUCGUAUAAUGAAAGACUAUGGCAAAGACUUUGGCUCCAUGGCAAUUGAACUGUAUGUGUGUGCUCUGAGCGCUAUUCAGUAAUAAUGUGCGCUCAGAUCUGAGCUAUCUGGGGAUAUGUUGAAUGUACUUGUUUUGUGC